ensembl:lncRNA
AGGGAAGAUUUCUAAAAAUAGCCAGGCCUCAGACUAAGGGAGAUGGCCAAAGAACUGUCAGGGCAAGGAUCCAGUUUCUGGUGUCAGUGACCCCAGCUGUGCCCCCCACCCACCCAGACCCCUGUCCUUCUGGUUCAGGGUGGGCAGAAUGUAAGGCCCUGAGAAGACUGGGGUACAGGGUGGAGAAGAGAGGAACUUGAAGCAGGCAGGGCUGGGAGGCUGGAGGUGUACUUCAGAGUGCUCCGCCCCACUGAGGCUGGCAGGACAGACUCCCAUCCUGAAGCCCCUCUGCUUUACCACUUCCUCUCCCGCCCACCCACACGGACACACAUAAACUCAACCCUCAUGCUUAACACUGGCUUGAGUCAUUUUCCCUCCUCCUAAAACCCAUCCCCUCUAAGUGGGCCUCCAUUUAUUUCCCUGGACAGAGACCCCCUGGAGCUACACUCCAGAAGCCAAGGAAGUUAUGCUUAGGACCAUUUUAACUGGAGAGAAACAGAGAGGUUCCAGACCUUGUGGGGGUAGACCAUCUGACUCAGGGGAUCUAGGUCCAAACCCUGUCCAUGUGACCUGAGACAAGUUGUCCCUUCUCUUCCUGCCUCCAUUUGUCCAUCUACAUCCGGUCACAGAACGUGUAGGUCACACACACACUGACCCUGAGCAUCUCUUCCCAGAAAAGCUCACAUGAUGAAACUGGAAACCUUAGUGGAGGAUAUACAGUCCAGAAGAUGUCAGGGCUCACUGCUGCCUCCUGUACCUAUGACGAGGGCCUACCUGGGCUCCCCUGUGAUGAGGGACAGAGUAAGGAGUUUCAAAGAAGAUGUUUUACAAUAGCAAUCAAUGGCUGUGUAGUUCAGGAUGGUCUUGAACUCAUGAUCUUCCUGCCUCAGCCUCCCCAGCACUGGGAUUGCAGGUGCACCCUCCCUCCCUCUCUUCUGUCUUCUUGAUUGGCAUUGCUGUCUCCACUCCACACUGGCAAACAAAGGUCCUAAGACAUGAACUGUUUGGAGGAUUCAGACUUGGAUCACAUUUGAAGACAGCCACUUGUGCACUAUAGGGUCCAGGAAGGGGUUAGUCAUGCCCAAGGUCAUCUAAGGGGACACUAAUCUGACUCUGCAUUUGUCUCAUGGACAUCAUGCCUGAGGACUGUGGAAUGGGCCAACCCUCUGAUUAGGGGGCUUCAGUCCUUCUGUCCUAAUCUGUCUCCCUCCUAAAGAGUCCCCGGCCCUAAGGACCCCUGCUGGGAAGUACCCAAGACCCACCACCCCAUUGCAUCAGACAACACUCUGGUCUGGAAAGCCACGCCCUGUCCCGACAGAUCAGAGGCGGGCAGAGCUAAGUGGUCACAGGCAUACUUCCAGUCACAGAGCUAGGGGUAGCAGCCUGGACUGAGCCCUGGCAUCACAGUCCUUACCCAAGGAAGUCUGUUGGGACUAGAGAUUCUGGUAUUUGCUGGGAACCGUCCCUGUUUGCACGCACUAGGUUCCAUGGAAAAACCCAAACCUUGCAUCAGCUAGCCAAUCGGCUCUGCUAAGAGCCUCUCUUUCAGCUUCUCUGGCUUUCCCCACCCGUUAUCUGACUCAUCUCCCAACAGUCCCGGGGGACAGGAGACAGCAGGCUUCCGGUCCCUGUUGCAUGGAUGGAGAGACGGGCAGGAAGGGGCUUCCUGCAAUGAGUCAGGGGCUAGAGCUGGCACCAUCCCAGAUUUCCUUUUCUGAGGCUCUGAGAGGUUAAAGCAACGUAUGUAAGGACGCGCAGCCUAGUCCUUGUUCCAACAGGCUGGAGACAACAGGGGAGGCAAGCGGCUUAGAACUGUUCUCCAAACAAGUGCCCCAGCGCGUGCGCGCCCACGUAAGGCUGCCCAGUUUUCCAAGACAGGGUUUCUCUGUGCAACUGCCAUGGCUGUCCUUGGAACUCACUCUGUACACCAGGAUGGCCUCGAACUCACAGAGAUCUACCUGCCUCUGCCUCCCAAGAUCUGGGGUUAAAGGCAUGCACCACCGCUGCCCAGCCUCAGGGUCCUUUUGAAACCAGUGCCUACAUCCUCCAAGAGGAGGCCUGUGGCUGCAUGGCUGAAGUCUGGCACCAUCUGAGAUUCCCAUUCGGUGACUGAGGGGAACUGUAGCUGUACGGCUGGCUGCCCUGUGUGCCUGAGACCCUGGGUUCCAUCCUCAGCAACAACACAAGGGAACAAAUACCAAAAUGGGGUCCUUGUUUGGUACCUGGAAGCUGAAGAAGGAAGUGGCAUCCAGAGGCUUCUGUGGGAGAUUCAUAGUUCUUGCAGGUCUGGAUGGAAGCUGUUUCCCCCACUUCCUUUAUCUGGGUGAGGAGCCACCAGUGACUUGGUCAAACUUUUCACUAUGUACAAGUUGCAGUCACCCUUCAGUCUCGGUUUGUAUGCUCAGAAGGGGCAAAGGAGGAGUCAACACCUGUUACCUCGUGUUAAUCCUCAGGAUGAACAUCCUAAGAAUGUUUGUAACUCCCUCAACACAACCCGGCAGUGGAGGGGCGCUACUUUCACCCCACAUUAUACAUGAAGACACUGAGGGUCAAGAAGAGCCCUGUGCCCAGGCGGUAGUUGGAGGCUGGGAGAGACUGACCCAAGGUCAACCCAAGGUCAACCCAAGACUGACCUCCCUUCAGAGCUCAGCCUCUCAUCCCCAAGCUGGAUGACCUCUAGCUGGAGAUGCAUGGAGAGCCCAGUCUCAUGUAUCACAAACUGAUGUUGAACUCACUAUGAAGCUGAGGAUGGCCUUGAACUCCUGAUCUUCCUGCUUUCACCUCUCAGUUGCAUGAAUUGACACCCACCAAGUCCAAUUUGGAUUUUUUAAAAAUUAAAUUACAUUAACUAUUAGUAUGGGGAGUGUCACACCUAUGCCAUGGCUGAGGACAACUUUUGAGAAGCUGGUCCUCUCCUUUCACCAUGGGUUCCAGG